GUUCUUAGUUUGGAUGCUGGAUGGGGCAGGUGAACAUGACGGGUCCCCACAGGCAGCAGUGACAGCUGGGCCCUAUUUUUUUUUUUAGGGCCAGAUUUAGGAUUUACUAUCUGGAACACUGAAAAUGUGAUCAUCUGGGGCACAAGUCUUUCCUCUAUUUAUUCAGUAUAAUUCUAGACUAAGCAGAAGAGAAAGAAACAGUAGAUACUCCAUUCUGGACUGUACCUUGAACUAGAAAUUUUCAUAUUCAAAGCUGGAGGCCAUAUCACCACUGACCGGCAUAACAUAUUAUUCAUUUUGCAUAUAAGAAUCGAAAACAGGAUUGAGUCGGAUUGUGCCUUGUUUUUUUUUAUUGUACUUUAUUAAAUUUUUGUGGACAGCAGAAUGAUGAAGGCUUUGGAUGGGAUCUCUCAGAAGCAGCAAUACCUCUCCCGAACUGGGAUCCAGUUAGGUAUGACCCUGUAACUGAACAGGUGAUGAUGCUGUUUUAGCAUCUGUCAUCCUGAUCCUGACCGAUCAGGUGGUGCAGCCAAUAUGAGUUAAGUUAAAUAUUACUGCCUCAGAUACGAAUCACUGCUUUUGCCCACUUUAUAAAUGGACUCUGUGAAGUGCUGGAAUGUCAACACGCAUGCGCUGACCGCAGAUGCAACCUAAAGGGGUACUCCGGUGGAAAACUUUUUUUUUUUU